AAUCACGAGGAUUUCGUUCGAGCACCAAUGACUGCGCGCUGAUGGGGCUAGUGUUGGAUUGUAGCGCAUGACAAUUCUGGCGUGAUUCGCGCACCGAUGGUGGCGCGAUGCAUGGUGGCGAAGUCGAGGAGUCACGGCGCACUGAUGAAGGCGACGAUUGGGUCAUUGGACCUGAAAAGUCGUGACAUUUGGAACCUCAAAGCAUCUAGAAUCCCCCUUCGCGGCGCCUAACUUCUCAGGAAACCCUAGGGUUUCCUGAUCCGUUUACUGCUUUGGGCCUUUUGGGCCCCGUGUAUCCUUGGGUCAAGGAUAUUGGAUCAUCCGGUGUAGAUGGGUCUGAGUGUUUAAAUCUGGGCUUGGGUGUAAUGGGU
rnacentral:lncRNA from 1 species